GAAGCGGGAACCCGGCACGGCCACGGCCGGUCAGACCGGGGGUGCCUCGCCGAGAGGCGAGGCGGCA
rfam:Frankia sp. CcI3, complete genome.